rnacentral:rRNA from 1 species
UACGAAGGGGGCUAGCGUUGUUCGGAAUUACUGGGCGUAAAGGGCGCGUAGGCUGUGCUGUAAGUCAGGCGUGAAAGCCCCGGGCUCAACCUGGGAAUUGCGCUUGAUACUGCGGCGCUGGAAGGUGGGAGAGGAUGGCGGAAUUCCCAGUGUAGAGGUGAAAUUCUUAGAUAUUGGGAAGAACACCGGUGGCGAAGGCGGCCAUCUGGCCCAUUUUUGACGCUGAGGCGCGAAAGCGUGGGGAGCAAACAGG